AUGCUUGACCCUAUGUUCGACAAGGGCCAUCGUGCCCGUUUUAUUGAGAACGGAGUGAUGCUCCCGCCACUGCGGAUGAGGGGUCACGGGACGACGGUGAAGAUGGAGUACGACGAGCGGUACGCGCCGUUCUACAGGAGAGCCCGACUGCUGGCUUUUGUCCUGCAGUUCAAGCGCAAGUCGCCGACGCUCGUCCACUCAGCUCUCACGGCUUUGAUCGAUCGGUGGCGGCUAGAGACGCACUGCUUCCAUCUUCCAUGUGGGGAGAUGACGGUUACACUCAAGGAUUGGGAGAUGAUUACGGGCCUACCG
rnacentral:rRNA from 1 species